rnacentral:rRNA from 1 species
ACGCUCGACACCUACGGGAGGCAGCAGGUGGGGAAUAUUGCACAAUGGGGGAAACCCUGAUGCAGCAACGCCGCGUGAAGGAAGACGGUUUUCGGAUUGUAAACUUCUGUUCUUAGUGAAGAUAGUGACGGUAGCUAAGGAGCAAGCCACGGCCUAACUACGUGCCAGCAGCCGCGGUAAUCUGAGCGGGCUGGCAAGGC